AUGCUAUUUUCCAAUAAACUGUAGCUGUCAUAUUUCACGGGACCCGCGUGAGUGCGGAUUUCAUGUCGCGGCUUUCGUCGCUGUUUGUCACUUUGCCUUAGAUUGAGUGACAAGUGUACUCUCUCAAUUUUAGC